rnacentral:rRNA from 1 species
AACGAACGCUGGCGGCGCGCCUAAUACAUGCAAGUCGAGCGAGAAGACGUAGCAAUACGUUUGUAAAGCGGCGAACGGGUGAGGAAUACAUGGGUAACCUACCCUCGAGUGGGGAAUAACUAGCCGAAAGGUUAGCUAAUACCGCGUACGCUCCGUGGACUUCGGUUCAGGGAGGAAAGCGAUACCGUGGGUAUCGCGCUCUUGGAUGGGCUCAUGUCCUAUCAGCUUGUUGGUGAGGUAACGGCUCACCAAGGCUUCGACGGGUAGUUGGUCUGAGAGGACGAUCAGCCACACUGGCACUGCGACACGGGCCAGACUCCUACGGGAGGCAGCAGUAAGGAAUAUUGCGCAAUGGGCGAAAGCCUGACGCAGCGACGCCGCGUGGGGGAUGAAGGUCUUCGGAUUGUAAACCCCUUUCGGGAGGGAAGAUGGAACGAGCAAUCGUUCGGACGGUACCUCCAGAAGCAGCCACGGCUAACUUCGUGCCAGCAGCCGCGGUAAAAC